rnacentral:rRNA from 1 species
AGCAUAUCAAUAAGCGGAGGAAAAGAAACUAACAAGGAUUCCCCUAGUAACGGCGAGUGAAGCGGGAUGAGCUCAAAUUUGUAAUCUGGUGGACUCAGUUCAUCCGAGUUGUAAUCUAUAGAAGUGUUUUCCGCGCUGGACCGUGUCUAAGUCCCUUGGAACAGGGUGUCAGAGAGGGUGAGAAUCCCGUGCUUGAUACGACCACCAGUGCUAUGUGAUACACUUUCAACGAGUCGAGUUGUUUGGGAAUGCAGCUCAAAAUGGGUGGUAAAUUCCAUCUAAAGCUAAAUAUUGGCGAGAGACCGAUAGCGAACAAGUACCGUGAGGGAAAGAUGAAAAGCACUUUGGAAAGAGAGUUAAACAGUACGUGAAAUUGUUAAAAGGGAAACGAUUGAAGUCAGUCGUGCUCUCUGGGACUCAGCCGGUUCUUCCGGUGUACUUCCCAGUGAGCGGGUCAACAUCAGUUUAGAUCGCUGGAUAAAGGUAUUAGGAAGGUGGCUCCCUCGGGAGUGUUAUAGCCUAGUAUCGCAUACAGUGGUUUAGACUGAGGAACGCAGCUCGCCUUUAUGGCCGG